rfam:Gloeobacter kilaueensis JS1, complete genome.
GCCGGGAUAGCUCAGUUGGUAGAGCAGCGGACUGAAAAUCCGCGUGUCGCCAGUUCAAGUCUGGCUCCUGGCA